rnacentral:rRNA from 1 species
UACGGAGGGGGCUAGCGUUAUUCGGAAUUACUGGGCGUAAAGCGCACGUAGGCGGACUGGAAAGUUGGGGGUGAAAGCCCAGGGCUCAACCCUGGAACUGCCUUUGAUACUGGGUAUCUCGAGUCCGGAAGAGGUGAGUGGAAUUCCGAGUGUAGAGGUGAAAUUCGUAGAUAUUCGCAAGAACACCAGUGGCGAAGGCGGCUCACUGGCCCGAUACUGACGCUGAGGUGCGAAAGCGUGGGGAGCAAACAGG